rnacentral:rRNA from 1 species
CACCCAACAGCUAGCCCUAACUCAAGCCAAAAUCUAACCUAUCAUUUAAGCUACAAAAAACUACAACCACUAAACAAACCAUUUUACCCCCUAAGUAUGGGAGACAGAAAAGGACCCAGGAGCAACAGAUACAGUACCGCAAGGGAACGCUGAAAUAGAAAUGAAAUAACCCAGUAAAGUACUAAAAAGCAGAGAUACAACCUCGUACCUUUUGCAUCAUGAUUUAGCUAGUAAACCCGGGCAAAAAGUAUUUUAGUCCGACACCCCGAAACUAAGUGAGCUACUCCAAGACAGCCUGUUUAUAGGGCUAACCCGUCUCUGUGGCAAAAGAGUGGGAUGAGCUUCGAGUAGAGGUGACAGACCUACCGAACUUAGUUAUAGCUGGUUGCCUGAGAACCGAAUAGAAGUUCAGCUUCUUAGCUUCUUUAUCCAACACAGUUAUUACACCACUAUGGUGGUUAAGAAACCAAGAAAGUUAAUCAAAGGGGGUACAGCCCCUUUGAGCAAGGAAACAACCUUUACAGAUGGGUAAUGAUCACAAUAAAUAUAGGCACGAUAUUCCAGUGGGCUUAAAAGCAGCCACCAAAAUAGAAAGCGUUAAAGCUCAGAUACUUUUUUUACCCGUUAUUCUGAUAUAACAAUCCUACCCCUCUCGCUACUAUCAGGCCACCCCAUAAUAAAUAUGGGGGAGACCAUGCUAAUAUGAGUAAUAAGAGAAGACAGAUUCUCUCCACGCACAAGUGUAAACCGGAACGGACCCACCGCCGAUCAUCACCCGGACCCAAACAAAGAGGGCAUUAGAUCCAAAAACAAAAGACAAGAAAAACCCCUAAUCACAUAACCGUUAAACCUACACCGGAGUGCUAACCAGGAAAGACUAACAGAAAAAGAAGGAACUCGGCAAACACAUCACGCCUCGCCUGUUUACCAAAAACAUCGCCUCUUGCAACCUAGAGUAUAAGAGGUCCCGCCUGCCCUGUGACAUAAACUGUUUAACGGCCGCGGUAUUUUGACCGUGCAAAGGUAGCGCAAUCACUUGUCUUUUAAAUGAAGACCUGUAUGAAUGGCAUAACGAGGGCUAAGCUGUCUCCUUUUUCGAGUCAAUGAAAUUGAUCUCCCCGUGCAGAAGCGGGGAUACUAACAUAAGACGAGAAGACCCUAUGGAGCUUCAGACACCAAGGCAGCAUAAAGUAAACAUCUAAAAAAGAAAUAAACCAAAAAUGACCUGCCAUACUGUCUUUGGUUGGGGCGACCGCGGGGAAACAAAAAACCCCCAUGUGGACUGGGAGAAUACCUCCUACAACCAAGAGCCACAGCUCUAAUAAACAGAACUUCUGACCUUAAAGAUCCGGCACAUAGCCGAUCAACGGACCGAGUUACCCUAGGGAUAACAGCGCAAUCCUCUUUUAGAGCCCAUAUCGACAAGGGGGUUUACGACCUCGAUGUUGGAUCAGGACAUCCUAAUGGUGCAGCCGCUAUUAAGGGUUCGUUUGUUCAACGAUUAAAGUCCUACGUGAUCUGAGUUCAGACCGGAGUAAUCCAGGUCAGUUUCUAUCUAUGCUAUGUUCUUUUCUAGUACGAAAGGACCGAAAAGAAGAGGCCCAUACUUUAAAGCACGCCUCCUUCCCCACUAAUGAAAAAAACUAAAUUAGGCAAGAGAACAUAACUCCUUUGCCUAAGAAUAAGGCAC